rnacentral:tRNA from 2 species
CGGGAUGUGGCUCAGCCCGGUAGAGCACUGCGUUCGGGACGCAGGGGUCGGAGGUUCAAAUCCUCUCAUCCCGACCA